rnacentral:rRNA from 1 species
GGUGCUAACGUCCGGACUCAAAAGGGAAACAACCCAGACCGCCAGCUAAGGUCCCUAAUAUCAGCUAAGUGGAAAACGAAGUGGAAAGGCUAAAACAGUCAGGAAGUUGGCUUAGAAGCAGCCAUCCUUCAAAGAAAGCGUAAUAGCUCACUGAUCGAGUCCUUCCGCGCGGAAGAUGUAACGGGGCUAAGUUGAUAACCGAAGCUGCGGAUUCAUACUUUUAGUGUGAGUGGUAGGGGAGCGUUCUGUAAGCCUGCGAAGGUGGAUCGUAAGGUCUGCUGGAGGUAUCAGAAGUGCGAAUGCUGACAUGAGUAACGAUAAAGCGGGUGAAAAGCCCGCUCGCCGCAAACCCAAGGUUUCCUGCUCUACGUUAAUCGGAGCAGGGUGAGUCGGUUCCUAAGGCCAGGCUGAGAAGCGUAGCUGAUGGAAAUCAGGUUAAUAUUCCUGAACCGGCGUUGAAUGCGAUGGGGUGACGGAGCAGCCAGAGUGGACCGGGUGUUGGAUGUCCCGGCUUCCGAGCGAUGGGUGCCUGCAGGCAAAUCCGCAGGCGUAUACCCAGGACGAAGGAUCGGGUCUUCUUUUGAAGACGAAGCCACUGGAAGCGCUUCCAGGAAAAACCUCUAAGCUUCAGUUCAACGGCGACCGUACCGUAAACCGACACAGGUGGGUGAGCUGAAUAUGCUCAGGCGCUUGAGAGAACUCGGGAGAAGGAACUCGGCAAAUUGACACCGUAACUUCGGAAGAAGGUGUGCCGUAGUACCGUGAGAGGAGAGACACCUUGAGCGGGAAACGGUCUCAGAGAAUAGGUGGCUGCGACUGUUUAUUAAAAACACAGCACUCUGCAAAGUCGAAAGACGACGUAUAGGGUGUGAUGCCUGCCCGGUGCUGGAAGAUUAAUUGAUGGGGUGAGAGCCCUUGAUCGAAGUCCCAGUAAACGGCGGCCGUAACUAUAACGGUCCUAAGGUAGCGAAAUUCCUUGUCGGGCAAGUUCCGACCUGCACGAAUGGCAUAAUAAUGGCCACACUGUCUCCUCCCGAGACUCAGUGAAAUUGAAAUGUUUGUGAUGAUGCAAUCUCCCCGCGGCUAGACGGAAAGACCCCAUGAACCUUAACUGUAGCUUUGCAUUGGACUUUGAACCGAUCUGUGUAGGAUAGGCGGGAGGCUUUGAAGAAUGGACGCCAGUUCAUUCGGAGCCGUCGUUGAAAUACCGCCCUGAUUUGUUUGAGGUUCUAACCUGGGCCAGUAAUCCUGGCUGGGGACCGUGCAUGGUGGGCAGUUUGACUGGGGCGGUCUCCUCCUAAAGGGUAACGGAGGAGUGCGAAGGUACGCUAAUCACGGUCGGAAAUCGUGAGGAUACUGCAAUGGGAAAAGCGUGCCUGACUGCGAGACAGACAAGUCGAGCAGAUGCGAAAGCAGGUCAUAGUGAUCCGGUGGCUUCUGCAUGGAAGGGCCAUCGCUCAACGGAUAAAAGGUACUCUGGGGAUAACAGGCUGAUACCGCCCAAGAGUUCAUAUCGACGGCGGUGUUUGGCACCUCGAUGUCGGCUCAUCUCAUCCUGGGGCUGUAGUCGGUCCCAAGGGUAUGGCUGUUCGCCAUUUAAAGAGGUACGUGAGCUGGGUUUAAAACGUCGUGAGACAGUUUGGUCCCUAUCUGCCGUGGGCGUUGGAAGAUUGACGGGGGCUGCUCCUAGUACGAGAGGACCGGAGUGGACGCACCUCUGGUGUAUCGGUUGUGACGCCAGUCGCAUUGCCGAGUAGCUAUGUGCGGAAGAGAUAACCGCUGAAAGCAUCUAAGCGGGAAACUUGCCUGAAGAUUAGUCUUCCCGGAGGCUUGA